rfam:Xenopus tropicalis strain Nigerian scaffold_3048_contig_3, whole genome shotgun sequence.
GGCUCUGUGGCGCAAUGGAUAGCCCAUUGGACUUCUAGGUGAAAGAAGAAAUUCAAAGGUUGUGGGUUCGGAUCCCAUCAGAGUCA